rnacentral:misc_RNA from 1 species
ACGUAUCCACGUAUAAACCAUUGUGAACCGUACCCACCUCUGCUAUGAGUAAACCCAAGGUUCGUGUGAGAGAAAGCAAUAUAUUAAAGCAACUUUACUGUGAUUGGUUGUGGCUUUCUCUCACCUCAAUUGUCGUCUCUCCGGAGUCACUUUUGUACCUCCUCUCAUUUCAGAGUGUAUUUCAAUCACUAAUUAUUAACCAUUUUAACCAAUCUUUAUAACUUUUGAACUAACUUAUUUCUUACUCUGCGGAGAAGAAAUUCAUUACGAAACAAAGAACAACUCUUAGCAACGGAUAUCUUGGUUCU